UACGUAGGGUCCGAGCGUUGUCCGGAGUUACUGGGCGUAAAGCGCGCGCAGGCGGCGGUGCUGGCUCGGCGUGAAAGCCCCCGGCUCAACCGGGGAGGGUCGUCGGGGACCACACCGCUUGAGGGCGGUAGGGGCUGGUGGAAUGCCUGGUGUAGUGGUGAAAUGCGUAGAGAUCAGGCGGAACACCCGUGGCGAAGGCGGCUCUCUGGAACGCAACUGACGCUGAGACGCGAAAGCGUGGGGAGCAAACAGG
rnacentral:rRNA from 1 species